CUGCCCUCCAGCACGGCUGGGUGUUGGGCGCUGUCCCCCCGGGGACACGCCCCAAAGGCAGUGGCGACGCCGCGUCGAGUCCUCGAGCGUAUGGAGCUUUGGUCACCUGCUCGGGAGGGAUUCGCCGGCUUCGGUCUUCCCCGAUGGGCCCUGUACAGGGCCGAUCUUUUC
rnacentral:misc_RNA from 2 species